GGCAUUAAUGGAACAAGCAUCAAGAAAGAGGAUCUGACAGUGCUGGGCAACUUGGUAUGUGCUGUGAGCAGUGAUGUCAUCAAAAACUCAGACCCAGAAAUCCUUGAGAACUUGAAGAACUGCAAAGAUCUCUCAGAUUCGCAAAUAUCAGCCAUGCAAGAGCUUCUUAUGAAGGGAACGUCAAAAUAUGGGCAAGUUGAUUUCUUAGAUUUAAAAAAAAAAAAUAGAAGUACAACUUUCAGAUUCGCAAAUAUCAGCCAUGCAAGAGCUUCUUAUGAAGGGAACGUCAAAAUAUGGGCAAGUUGAUUUCUUGAUUUAAAAAAAAAAAAAAUGAAGUCAACUUAUGAUUAUUCUUAUUUUCAGUCCUGAUUCUGUGCAUUAGUUAAAAAGUGCACUGGUUAUGGUUGUGUGGUAAUGGAAGAUUAUGUCUCUACUAUUUAGACCAACAAGCAAUUGGAAUCAGAAAACACUUAAUGAUCUGGGAAUUAUGCCUUUGUACUUCUAGUGGGACAAGUUAGAUUUACUUGUAUUUAAAAAAAAAAAAAAUAGAAGUCAACUUAUGAUUAUUCUAUUUUCAGUCCUGAUUCUGUGCAUUAGUUAAAAAGUGCACUGGUUAUGGUUGUGUGGGUAAUGGAAGAUUAUGUCUCUACUAUUUAGACCAACAAGCAAUUGGAAUCAGAAAACACUUAAUGAUCUGGGAAUUAUGCCUUUGUACUUCUCACAAAGCUUUUUGGCAGUCAUUCAGAGAGAGUGAUUUAGCCAAGUUCUUCAAAACCUUCUUUAAAUUUGUGCGUGGACAAAACACACCAAAGCCACAACUGAAAAGGCUGUUUAGAGCAAUCAUUGUAACCUCAUUCAGAGCCAAGAGGGCAGCUGAAUGUACUAAGGGCAGCAUCACUAGUCUUACCAUCAGGGAUGAUGCCUUCCCCUUUGGAUAUGAUGAGGUGCAGUUCUAUAUAUAUAUAUAUAUAUAUAUAGUUAAUCACUACAUAAAAAAGAGAUUAUGCAAUGCACAUAACUUGUAUU
rnacentral:lncRNA from 1 species